rnacentral:lncRNA from 1 species
CUCCUUCUUUUCACGCUGUGUCUUCAAAGAUGCCUGCAUAUAAACCCAGAAAAUCAAACUAGUAAAUUAGACUAUGAUUGGAAAGAAUGCAAGAUGUCCCACGAAUGUAGCCUUUUGCAAAAACUACGAUCUACUCGGAUCUUUUCAAUAAGUACCAAACAUCAAGAACCAAGUUAAAGAUAAACGCAUGCACUCUGAUACAAUAGUCCUGAAGUUUAACGAUAACAUUAACACACACCCGUACUUAUGCCAAAAGUCAUAAAGCACAACCUAAACUCUAGGUAAAUCGAAUUCCACACCAGUACUUAAUUGGUUAAUCGUGUUCCAACAUCAGUACUUAAUUCCGGCACCAAUUCAACGUUAAAUGCCCUAUAUACUUAAUUGGUUGACCAUAAUAUCUUUCAAAUAUGUACCUCCUUACACAAGCACUUGCCAAUCACUCAGAAACCUUAAAUCCUGUAACAAGAUUUAUUUCUUAGGACUAAAAAUAAAUAUUGGCCAUACCCAUUCCCUCAAAAGAACAACUAUUAUUAGAUCCAUUUCAUCCUGGGCUCAGCCAUUUCAAUCCCUCCCCUGUUUACUAUCAAUGUUAUUGACCUUACCAUAAACAAAGACAGCCAGCAUUACCUGAAACUUGCUUUAAAAUUUUCAGAGUUAACAUCACAAAUUCACCGUACCAUCACAUUAAUAUUUUAGGCGUUUUAACAACAAAAUC